rnacentral:tRNA from 1 species
GCCGCUGUAGCUCAGCUUGGGAGAGCGUCCGGCUGAAGACCGGUAUGUCGUGUGUUCAAAUCACACCAGCGGCA